rnacentral:rRNA from 1 species
CCUACGUGUGGCAGCAGUGGGGAAUAUUGGACAAUGGGGGAAACCCUGAUCCAGCAAUGCCGCGUGUGUGAAGAAGGCCUGCGGGUUGUAAAGCACUUUCGGUUGGGAAGAAAAGUUUGGCGCCAAUACCGCCGAACCUUGACGUUACUGACAGAAGAAGCACCGGCUAACUCUGUGCCAGCAGCCGCGGUAAUACAGAGGGUGCAAGCGUUAAUCGGGCGUGCUUAGCGUGACAUGCACGUAGGUGGUGAAAUCCCCGGGCUUAACCUGGGAACUGCAUUCGAUACUACAUGGCUAGAGUAUGGUAGAGGGAAGUGGAAUUUCCGGUGUAGCGGUGAAAUGCGUAGAUAUCGGAAGGAACACCAAUGGCGAAGGCAGCUUCCUGGACUAAUACUGACACUGAGGCACGAAAGCGUGGGUAGCAAACAGGAUUAGAUACCCUAGUAGUC